rnacentral:rRNA from 1 species
UCAAAGACGCAAGUCGCUUGAGGAUGAGCCCGCGUCCUAUCAGGUUGUUGGCAGGGUAAUAGCCUACCAAGCCUAUGACGGGUAGCUGGUCUGAGAGGAUGACCAGCCAGAAUGGGACUGAGACACGGCCCAUACUCCUACGGGAGGCAGCAAUCAGGAAUUUUGCGCAAUGGACGAAAGUCUGACGCAGCGACGCCGCGUGAAGGAUGAAGGCCUUCGGGUUGUAAACUUCUUUUAUAGAGGAACAAGUUCUGAGUGUACUCUAUGAAUAAGGUACUGCAAACUACGUGCCAGAAGCAUCGGUGAUACGUAGGUACCAAACAUUAUCCGGAUUUACUGGGCGUAAAGAGAUGCGUAGGCGUCUUGAUAAGUUCCGCGUUAAAUCUACCGGCUCAACCGGUAAACUGCGUGGAAAACUAUCUCGAUUGAGUUAGCUAGGGGAAGACGGAAUUCUCGGUGUAGCAGUGAAAUGCGUUGAUAUCGAGAAGAACACCAAUGGCGAAGGCAGUCUUCUGGGGCUUAACUGACGCUAAGGCUCGAAAGCGUGGGGAGCAAAACGGAUUAGAUACCCGUGUAGUCCACGCCCUAAACAAUCUCCGCUAGUUGUCGGGACUGGCUUGGUUUUUUCUUCGGAAAGGAUUAGGCAGUUUCGGUGACGUAG